UAUUCAUACUCUGAUUAAUGAUUAUUCUAACAUACUUAUUAACUAUAUUUACUUAUUUUUAAAGAAUAUUAAAACAUGCAUAGUUAUUUACUACACAUUAAGUUUCAGAUAACAAAUAUGUAUUGAUAUUAUGACAGGACGUCAAAAUAAAUCAUUAUAGACAAGUAUCCUGAUGUAUUUAUUCAGGAUACAUUUCUUACCUACCAAAGAAAACCAUAUAAAUGAUGUGAUUUCUUCUUAUGUAAUAGAUCUUUUCAAAUAUGAUAUGUUUCUAUAAAAAUUCAAUGUUGGCACCCCACUGAAGAUUAAGGAUGAAAGUAGGAAAGGUGAUCACAAUGCUUAAUUUAUUCAUGUAAGGAAGAUGAGGCCUCAAAAUAAUAGAGGACAUGUGCAGAGUGUUAUGUUCAAGAAGUCACAAUAGCCAUCAUGACCAACAAAGCUAGAGGGAUAGUCAAAGGAUAUUGACCCUCAGAGACCUGUUAAGAUGGCUAAUAGAAAGUGGUAUGCCAAUAGGUAAAAAGAGACAAACAAUUGGGGUACUUAAUAUCUAUAAUCAAAAGAAAGCAGUAAGGUAGAAGCAGAAGGAUGAAAGGAUGGCCUCAAUGGAAAUGUAUGAGUCCCUCCUUGAUUUUCAAAUUUAAGCCAAUUUACAGUUCCAAAAUCCAUUAGCUAAAGAUGUGUCUAGGUCCCUAGGAUAGAGUAUCAUGCCAUACCACUUUAAGUAUAAACUGUAAAGCUUAUUCACAGACCCUUUUCAGAGGACCCUUUCCUUAUGGACUUGGGGAAAGGAAAUAUCUGUAUAUUCUGAGGACUACUAAACCCAGUAUGUGAGUUGACAUUGGUGACUGUAGGCAUAAAGUAGCACUGUGACUCCUCUGUUAGCAAGGGGAUAUACAUGGCUAGGGAAUAAAAUCGAAUGCUGGCUAAAUUUCAGCCUAUAGUAACUUCAUUGAAUCUGCAGACCCUUCUAUCCGUUCUUUCUCUUGCUCCGAAGUGCAUAAUUGAGAUUGACAUACUUGGAAGUUUUAAUCAUCUCAUCAAGGCCUUGGCUUCUGGAAUAAGGGAUGCCACAAUGGGGAAUGCCAAUUAGAAUUCUUGAAAGUUCUUCGUCUUUAGUGAAUAUAGUAAAUCACAAAUAAUAUUUUAUCUAGAAGUGGAGGAAUGACAAUUCUUAGUACCAUCCUUAAAGACCUAGGGUUUGCAAAGGAAAGACAUCCUAAUAUGAAAAAGACACAUGUACAUGCAUGUUUAUAGUGGCAAAAUUUAAAACUGCAAAAAUAUGGAACUAACUUAAAUGCUCAUCAGCUCGCAAGUGGAUAAAGAAAAUGCGCUAUAUGUACUGCUAUAUAUCCGCCCAAAACUAUUGAAAUAAAAGAAAAAAUGAAAAAAUAAAUGUAAAAGUAAAAUAGAAAAUAAAGAUCUAGGAUUCUUUUUAUUUGAAAUGGCUGACUAGAAGCAGUUAGUGUGUACCACUCUGACAGAAAGUAAAGUGCUGAGUAAAUACUGACUCUUCAAGUGGAUUGUCUAAGAAACCAUGUUGAGAUCCAUCAAAGAAGUGAGGAGAUGCAUGGAGAAUUAAGAAGAGUGAGGCUUAGCAGCCACCCACCUGGAUGUGGUAUAGACCUGGGAGAAGCUCCCUAAUACAGGGAAAUGGAGAGACAGUAAGAGCCCCUGGGGAAUCUACAUUUACCACAGGUACUUUUGCAAUCUGGGAAGCCAGAGAAUCACCUGACUCCCAUAGAUCUCUAGAAUAAAAAACAGAGCCACCUUGAGUUUUUGCAAAGACGGUGCUCGAGACCAUGGGGAGCCCCACAGUCCCACAGGUUGGUGCCAGCUGCCAUAAUGCUGAUAGAGGCUGCAAUUACAGUGCUGGGGAGUGGUCAGACUGCCCUACUUCUCCUUGCUAGACAAGGCUCUGCUGGGCUUCCAGCACAGUGACCCUACCCACGCCUGAACUCUUCAGGUGGGCACAGGACUGUAUUCCCCCAGAAACUUCACAUACCACGGACCAUGCAAACCUCCAACUCCCACCGCCCCUGGCCAGGCAAGACUUGCCAGCUUGGACUUCUAGAACAGCAACCCCACCCCUACCUGAAUGCUGUGGAUGGGCAAAGCUCUGUGUUGCCCUGGGAACCACCCUGAUGACAGACUGUGUAACUCCUUUUACACCCACUGUUCAGAGCCAGGUAUGCCUCAUUGUUUUGAGCUUCCAGCACCUUGGCACAGCUUUGUGUUCUCACAGGAAAUGUCCAGACAGUGGACAUGGAACUCCCCCAGCCUUGACUGCUUCCAUUCAAGCAAGACAUGCAGUUUGGCAGUACCUGAAUGAGAGAGGUGUCUUCUUUAUCAGAACUGAGUAGGAUGUGAUGCUGGGUUCAUAAGCUGUCAUGGGAGCAGGGCAUACUUCACUUUGCAGGGCUGAUCCAAGAAGGGGGUGGUUUGUCUGCCAGCUGUGGCCUCUGCUUGAGGAAGCCCUGUGGCCUGGAACACCAAAAAUAUUUCCAAAAAAAUUGAUGAUGAGGAGCUCCUUCCGAACUUAUUCUGCAAAGUCAGCAUCAUCCUGAUACACAAUCUAUCAGAGAC
rnacentral:lncRNA from 1 species